rnacentral:rRNA from 1 species
UACGUAGGAUGCUAGCGUUGUCCGGAUUUACUGGGCGUAAAGCGCGCGCAGGCGGCACUGUAAGUAAGGUGUGAAAUAUCCCUGCUCAACGGGGAGGGUGCACUUUAGACUGCAGAGCUAGAGGACGGUAGAGGGGGGUGGAAUUGCUGGUGUAGCGGUGAAAUGCGUAGAGAUCAGCAGGAACACCCGUGGCGAAGGCGGCCCCUGGGCCGAACCUGACGCUGAGGCGCGA